GAUGAACGCUGGCGGCGUGCUUAACACAUGCAAGUCGAACGAAGCUGCUUAACGGAAACCUUCGGGUGGAAGAUAAGUAGACUGAGUGGCGGACGGGUGAGUAACGCGUGGGUAACCUGCCCUACACAGGGGGAUAACAGUUAGAAAUAAUUGCUAAUACCGCAUAAGCGCACAGUGUCGCAUGACACAGUGUGAAAAAGAUUUAUCGGUGUAGGAUGGACCCGCGUCUGAUUAGCUAGUUGGUAAGGUAAAGGCUUACCAAGGCGACGAUCAGUAGCCGGCUUUAGCGAGUGAACGGCCACAUUGGGACUGAGACACGGCCCAAACUCCUACGGGUGGCAG
rnacentral:rRNA from 1 species